AUUGAUGUCAACAGGCAGGCCAAAACUCCAUACCACCACUAUCAAAAUUUUCACAGUAUUAUAUGCCAACCUCAGUGUGGAAAUAUUAAUACAUGUUUUUGGCUGCACUGGGUCUAAAGAGUUUAACCUUAGCAUCAGGUACUCUGUUGUGUUUAAAGUAUCUCCAUUUAAAGGCCCAGUGCAGUCACAAAAUUCCAGUGUUAUUUCGACCUCAAUGUACUCAUUUUGAGAAUUACAUGUACUUUGAAACUUAAGUAUAUUUAAAACCAAGUGCUUUUUGACUUUUACUCAAGUAAGUAUUUUGCUAGGAGACUUUUACUUUUUAUUUUUUAUUUUUUACAUUUAAAAUUGGGUACUUUUUCUACCACUGCAAACUGGCUAUUAUUACUGUAACGUUAACUAGCCAACGUUACAUUGGCUACACAGUAAGUAUAGCUAGGUCGCUGUUUUUCUAUAUUAAACUACGUACGAUAUGUUGUAACACGGAACAAAAUAAAUUUGCGCCAGAAGGGGAAUUUGUCUUUCAGCAUAAAAAUAUCCUGCCUCUUCUUCACCAGUGAAUCAGGCAGCACUUCAGGGUCAUCGCUGAUGAAAGGCCUGCAAAAUGACAAGGAGGGGAUACUUGAGGACAAAGAGUAUGCGAUUGAGACAAAGACACACAUACACAGGACAGGCAGGUGAACAUCGACUGGCAGAGAAGCAGCUGAACUGGUUCCCCCCUAGCCCUUCUAGUUUGAUGCUGAAAGAGGUGCCUGCUGCAUUUGCUAAACUGGUGGUGCAGGUUGUAAAAAUACUCUAGCCUGGUCCCAGAUCCCUCUAGCCUGGUCUUGCUAACUCAUAAUGUAUGAUAGUUGUCAUGCCAUGUUUCCAUAGGAGUUGGCUAUAUAGUACAAACAGAUCAUAGACCAAACUAACAUUUGGCUGAUUUUCAGAACCGAAGGUGAAACUUCAGUGUACUUGAGGACUACUCUAGAAAUUGUUGGCUUUGUUGCAAGAUAGAAAGGAGAAUAAGCCAUGGUUUGCUUGUGUGUCACCUGAAUGUGAGGGCAAGCGGUUAUGUAUGAUAUGGUUAUGAUAGUAAUGUAGGCCCUAACAUGCACUUUGUUUUCAGGUUUGAAUGAGACAAUAUAUUCCCCUAACCUUAUUAUUUUAAUAAAGUUAUUGUUUAUGAAUAUUAUAUUACUUGUGUAUAUCUGUCCUUAUCAUAUGUAAUUGAUAAUUGUUUUUGGUGCAGAUGUGUUUAAUUUACUAUCUGGAUAAAGUGUCUGAUCAUGGAAAAUGUCAUAGAAUUUUUUUUAAGUGCCAUCAGUCACAUCAGUCCAUAUUUUGUAAGGAUAAGAAUAGAACUACCUUUUAAUGUGAAGAAGUUCUACCUUCCAGAGCUUGAGUUCUAAAAUAAUAACUUGAAAAGAUACCCAGCUAGCAAAUUUCAUUCCUUGGAAGUUGUGGGAAGGUACGUUUUUGGUUUCCCAUUGGAUCUGGGAACAAAGCCAGAAGUUUCCGUACCAGUAAAACCGAACGUUCUAAGAACGGAAGUUAACAUUUUGCCUGUUCUGGGAACAUUUAUUUUUAGGUUGCAG
ensembl:lncRNA